GAAGCUGUAAUGUGCUUGCUCUUUUGGGAAAACAGAGGUGUAAGGAAACAGGCUGAAGAGAGGUGACCAAAGCGCCGUGUCCCUCCUGGUCCUGGCACCCAGUGUCCAGCUCCACAAGACAAAAAUGCUUCAGGCUUUUGAGCCUUCUUUCCCUCAAAUGGAAAAAGCUCUUUUCAAAUUCAGAAACACCCUUUUACAUCACUGAUUUGGAUCCUUUUGAUGGAACAAAAUAGGAAGUCUACUUGAAAAUGAGAAAGAAAAUGGGAAAUGUGCAAAGGCAGAGUAUGAGAUCUCACAAUUCUGGACUGCAAUUCAUUGACCUCAAGGUGCAAAACAGGUUAAUUUCUAGCUUUUUUUUCUUAACAAUGAUAACUUUCCAGCCCACCCCAGCAGAACUCUGAAGAAGACCAAAGUUACUGUUCCUCCACAGACCAUAUUUAUAAUUUUUUCAGCCAGCUCUGAAAUUACUGAGCUCUGGAGACAUCAUUUGAUUGUCGUGCUGAAAUAUGAAGAGAUGAACCAGAUCUGACUGCUGGGGUGGAUGCUCCAAAAGUAACGCCAGUGACGUUUCGGAAAAAACCAGAAAGGCUGGAGAAAUGGGCUGACAGGAACCUCAUACAGUUCAGCAAGAGCAACUCCAAAGUCCUGUACCUGGGAAGGAACAACUCCAUGGACCAGGACAUACUGGGGGCCAAACAUCUGGAAAGCAGCUCUGCAGAACAGGACCUGGAGGUCCUGGUAGACACAACGUUGAAUGGGAGCUGUCAACGUGCCCUUGCCACCCAGAGGUCUAAUGAGGAGGCAGGAGGGGAGCAUCCAGCAGAUGGAGUUUUUGUUUUCUUCCUUCCCUGCUCCUUUAUCAACAAAAAGAUCCUCCCUUGGUAAGCCCUCAGGAUGCCAAUUCAAGGAAACACAUGGAAUCCGAUAGUCUGUGUGACUGGCCAUUCCUCAAAGUCUAAGUUUCCAGCUGGGGAUGAAACAGCAGCAAAUGUGGGGUGAAUGUGGAAAGAGCAAGAACCAGGUGAUGGAACAGAAAGUCGUAUUUAGCAUUUGACCAAACGUUGGACAAUGAGAUACCAUGUCAUCCCGAUGAAUAUUUGUGUAGAAGUGGUAAAUAUGAGCAGUACCAGGCUGACUGGGAGACCUCAUAUAGAGCCUCCACCUUAGUGUUGUGCCCUGGGCUGUCACUUGGAUGAUUUCCAGGCACAGGAGAAAGCAAGCUCUUUCCCUGCAAAGUCUCUUGUCCACCAUGCCUUGGUUUCUUCACACCAAGUAGGCAAGUCCUGCAGAUCUGGGGUAAAAAAGCACAGCCUGGAGUACCUCAGAUUUGAGGGCAAUAUUUAUGGAGGCUCUGUCAGCCUGCAGAAAGUCUGGGAGAGGAUGCUGGUCGUGCAUCAAAUCCUUAGGCACAGAAAUGCCUCACAGCAGAGGAAAAUGUACAGCAGCAGCUGAAGAGGACUCUGAGUUUCAGGGUCUUAGUCAAAGAGAAAACAUCAGUACAAAUGGUUAAAGGGUGACUCAGAAUAAGCCACAUUGUAUCUAUUAUUCCUGGUCUUUUUGUGCAAGAAAAUUGCUCUCUCUGAAAAAAAAAAUUGGAAAUUAAGGCCAUCCAUCCUCCCAAGCAUAGAAAAACACAAACCCUCAUUAGGUGGGCUGAAAAGCAAUUCUCAGGCCUUUAUCUGACAAGCUAAGAGCAUGAUUCUGUCUAUAGCAUUUAAGGGGAAAUGAUGAAUUACCUGGCAUGGGUUCAGUGCCUGAGCUUGGCAUUGGGUAAACUCACAAAGAAGCCUGAAGCCAAUCAAGCAACUUUGUACAAAUCCUGCUGAUAGCAGCCCUUUGGGGCACACAGUCAGGACAUAGACCAACAAAAUAAUUCUGAAAAUAAUAAUGAACAUCCCAUGGAAGAACAUGUGCUUGGAGCAUGGCUUACAAGAGCAGCUGAGCUUGUAGCCUGGGAACACAUGGCUGAGCCAUGAGAGACACUGGCUGGCAGAAGGAAAUAAGGGGAACAAUUUUGUACAGGCUGUUUUCAGACCCUGAUUUGAA